GUAAGCCCUCAGCCCAGGGGUACAGGCAGAGGAAAUCAGGCUAUGUACACAAAGGGCUGAGUGGGAGGGGACCAGGUGGAGUGCCAAGCCACUCUGCUGUGUGCCCAUGCCUGCGGGCGUGUGCUGGUGCCCUGUGACGCUUCAUGGACGCAGGUGCUCCAAGGACCUCUUCUGUGCAAGCUUCUGAGGGCCCAGGGAAAGGGUUGAUCCCUCGGCCCGGACCCAGCUCCUCAGAGCCCCUGGAUUCUGCCACAGGACACCCUGUGAGCUCAGUUCAUCUGCACUGCUCUGACCUCUGGGGAGAUGCGUCAGGAACACCAAGUGUGCAAGGACAGGACACAGGUCGGCACUGAUAAGGUUCAGAACCAGGGACAAAGCCUGGCUGCCACAGGGCUUCUCCCCACGGCCCCAGCCUGCGGAAACCUCUGCCCUCUUCUCCGUCCACCCCCAGGGCAUAAGAGCUGGCAUCGGAUCAGAGAGCCCUGUCCCACACCCUCCCAUGGGCAGUUCCCAGCUGCUCAGGCCAGCUUCAGCUCUGCUGGACCCCGAGCUCUCUGCAAUGUUCACAGAACAGCACCCCAACCCCUCGUUCCCCCCACACACACACACCUUUGCCAAGCACUUGGGAGGUGGGAACAGGGCAGUAAGCGAGAGUGCACGGCCCUGCCCUCAUGGAGCCCACACACAGGGCUGCACAAGCCGCGGCACAUGGGGGGCCUCUCGGAAGAGCAGGGGCACGAGGACGGCGCUCAGGGCGGGCACGGCAGCGCAAGCUAAUGGGCACUGCCAAGAGCCCCUCAGCAGGAGGGGGCACAGCAGGGCCUUGGAAUGCCAGGUGAGAGCCCUCCUCCUGGGCCUCUGGACAAGCACCCAUGCCUCUCUGGACCCAGGUGCCUCCUCUGCAGGUAGAGACUCACUUCACCUGCCUUGCAGCUGGCUGAAGACUCAGAGAGAGGGAAUUG